AACGAACGCUGGCGGCAUGCCUAACACAUGCAAGUCGAACGAGACCUUCGGGUCUAGUGGCGCACGGGUGCGUAACGCGUGGGAACCUGCCCUUAGGUUCGGAAUAACUCCCCGAAAGGGGUGCUAAUACCGGAUAAUGUCUUCGGACCAAAGAUUUAUCGCCUUUGGAUGGGCCCGCGUUGGAUUAGCUAGUUGGUAGGGUAAAAGCCUACCAAGGCGACGAUCCAUAGCUGGUCUGAGAGGAUGAUCAGCCACACUGGGACUGAGACACGGCCCAGACUACUACGGGAGGCAGCAGUGGGGAAUAUUGGAAAAUGGGCGAAAGGCUGAUCCAGUAAUGCCGCGUGAGUGAUGAAGGCCUUAGGGUUGUAAAGCUCUUUUACCCGGGAUGAUAAUGACAGUACCGGGAGAAUAAGCUCCGGCUAACUCCGUG
rnacentral:rRNA from 1 species